rnacentral:sRNA from 1 species
GAGCGGUGAACGAUCGAUACUCCUAUGCUAGCCUCUGACUCCUCAGGGGAGACAGCAGAGUGGUCGGACGAAACGCAACGAGUCGUCUCCAGCCCAAAGGCGACUCCACACCAUCCCAGCUGAAGACAGGGAACUGGCAAGUCACACAUCUUAUUCUUGACUCCCUCCUUUGGAAGCCUGUUUGUUUAAUGCACGGGACUGAACCAGCUGGUGGUGGCCCAAUGGCUGGAGACACCCACUGCCCCGCAGAGCCCCUGGCCAGAGAAGGCACUCUAUGGGAGGCCCUCAGGGCGCUCCUGCCGCACAGUAAAGAAGACCUGAAGUUGGACCUCGGGGAGAAAGUGGAGAGGAGCAUGGUGACGUUGUUGCAGCGAGCCACUGAGCUCUUCUACGAGGGCAGGAGGGACGAGUGUCUGCAGACCAGCGAGGUGAUCCUGGACUACUCCUGGGAGAAGCUCAACACAGGCCUGCCCAUGGCUCCAUCCCGGAGCAACCCUGCACAAAGGCAGUGCCCUUUCAGCAGAGAGGCAGCAGAGAAACUUCGUGGUUCCUGAGGGAAACAGCUUAAAGCGAUUGUGUGGGUGAGAGCUGCAGCCAGCAGCAGCCCGUUUCUUUCAGCUUCUUGGUGGGCUUGCUGAAGUCUCACCCAGGCGAGGCGAUACCUCCGGCUGCUCCUGUCUCUCUGCUUCUGGGUUUGGAUGAGAUACUACAACUAGCUGAUGUCUGUUUUGGGAUCAAUCUGUCCCACCCCUUGGGUCUAUGUGCCUGUUCCAAAGAGCACCCCCAGGAACAGAGCAUGGUUUACUCUGAAGGCUUCAGGUCCUGGUGCCGACACACAGGCCUCACUUACAACACACCCAAGCGAGUCACUUAACCUCCUUUGAGCCUCGGUUUCCUUGUCUGUAGAGUGGCAGAGUACUGACCCACAGAAAGAAAUAACUAAGACUGUACUAGACACUCGGUAGUGGAAUUAUGGGAUGUUUCUGACAUUUUUCUAAAUGCUUUGCUAUGUUUUCCGAAUUUCCUACAAUGCAUAUUAUUACUAUUAUUAUUAUUUUUUUAUUUUUAUUUUAUUUUAUUUUUUUUUUUUGAGACAGAGUCUCACUCUG